CCCUGCCUGGGAAUCAAACCCAGGACCUUCUUGCUGCAAGGCAACAGUGCUACCAACUGCGCCACCAUGCAGCCCAUGAUUAUUUGUGUAUUUGUAUAUAUGAAUAUAUGUAUACAAGGGGUUUUGAAGAAAAUCCAGAAUGAAAGACUCACCAAGACUUCCAAUCAGCAUCCUGUCCACCUGAUUCUCCAUCCAAUCACCUUUCGACGCCUUGCUUUUAAAGGACCUUCAGCAGUGUUCAUCCUCGCUUGUCAGCUAAGCUCAUAUACGACUCCAACGCCUCCUCGCACUAUUCAUAUGAGACUCUCAUAAUCCUUACUUCCCUUCUGCUCGUAGGAGCCCUCUCCUCGCCUUGAUGGCUCAUUUCUUCCUUGUCUCAGUGCAUUAAGAACUCCUACACUUCUCCUGCUAAGCAUUGCCGAGGCAGCCCUGCCUCCUCACCGGCUCCCACUGCUGCAUCACCCGGCCUGGUUUCUCCAGCAGUUCCUACUUCCAUCUUCAUCCCUCAAACAGACUAUCCUACAAUUUUCCCUGCUUCAUUUAUCUCGUUCGUGGAUUCUCUCCAGCGCUCCGCGUCAUCCCUUACUCACCUGCUCUGUGAGUUUGCCACCAUCUCUGCUACGCCAGCACUUCCUCUUUCCCGUUCUAUCGUCACUGCCAGUUCCUCUGCCCCUCCCACCGGCGUUCGCACUUGCUAGUGCCCGGCCUAGCUCGUCUCUUCUCUAUCUUUUUCAUUCAUAUGCUCUUUAAGCGUGUGGUGUUUCCCACCCCUCUUUUCAUUCAGGUUGAUAAUUUACUCUCAUGUAUUCUACCAUCUCGUUCAGGCUCAACUCCAAUUCCUGCAGAGGAAGCUCAUUAAUCUGGUUUUUCUCCUUUUACCAUCUUCCGAGGCUUCCUUUGAUGGCUUUUUCUGCUUCGUUUAAAUCAUCUUGUCCCCGGCUUUCUGUCCGAACUAUUGCACCCUGCUUCCGGUCAGAUGUCUCGGAGUUCUUCCGGUCCUUGGUCCCCAGAAGCGAUCACACGAGGAAUGAUUACAGAGAUCAGCGCUGAGGCUCCUGUCUCGGAUCGUCGCCGUAUGUGAAAGGAUGACAAAGAGCCCCGAAGAAGGCUAUCUGGCACUCCAAAGCAAUAGAUCUGCCCUCCCCUAGUGUUUAUUACGUGUCACCAUUGUGGUGUAUGUCUGAUAGGUUGUGUAGUAGCUGGUGUCCAUUCUUAAUCUAAGUUGCUGCGGCAUCCUAAUCAAACAGUAUCGGCUACUCCCUUUACAAAACCCAGUGCCCAGCCAUAGGUCAUUCAUGUCAAACCUUGGGCCAUUUAUCCCCGUAUGUGUGUCGAUGAGCAUUCUUAUCUUAUUCUUAAAAAAAAAAAAAAAACAUUUAAACUUGUGCUUUAUAUCAU